rnacentral:rRNA from 1 species
UACCAGAGUACUAUGAAUGAUAUAGAAUUUAAAACUCAAAGAACUUGGCGGUGUUUUAGACCAUUUAGGGGAACCUGUCUCGUAAUCGACAGUCCACGUUACACCUGACCUUUUUUUGUUUCCAGUUUGUAUACCGUUGUCGUCAGGUAACUUUUUAGAAAGUAGAAGUUGGCUAUAUAAAUAUAAUGGUUUAGUACGUCAAAUCAAGGUGCAGCUAAUAAAAGGGGGAGGAUGGGUUACAAUUAUAGAAUCAUAAUGACGGAUAUUUAUAUGAAAGUGUAAAUUAUGAAGGCGGACUUAAAAGUAAAUUGGAUUAUGCAAACAAGUUUGAAUGCGGCUCUGAAACGUGU